UGCUUAUUUCGCGAUGGCGGAGCUCGACCGCCCCUUCAAAUGAUGAUCUCGUUCAUUGACGAACACCGUAGCGUGUUCGGGGUCGAGCCGAUCUGCAGGCUUUUGCCGGCCCCA
rfam:Spinacia oleracea cultivar SynViroflay scaffold36353.con0033.1, whole genome shotgun sequence.